rnacentral:pre_miRNA from 1 species
CCUACUGGGCUGAUAAUCAGUUGUUAUGUCUUCCCCUGGCUCAGUUCAGCAGGAC